GGGUGUGUAGCUCAGUGGUAGAGUACUUACCCAGCAAGCCCGUGGCCCUGGGUUCCAUCCCCAGCUCUGCCA
rnacentral:tRNA from 1 species